rnacentral:tRNA from 1 species
GGAGACGUAUCGAAGUGGUCACAACGGGCUUGACUCGAAAUCAAGUAGUCCCGUAAGGGGCUCGAGGGUUCGAAUCCCUCCGUCUCCGCCA